rnacentral:lncRNA from 1 species
UUUCGUGCUUUAUCGCCAUACUUGGAAUGAUAAUAACAGAUAUGGUUUUGACGUUGCCUCGAAGAACUUCUUGGACGGGGUGAUCGAUACCUUAACUUCUUACAAUUAUAGCAAAGAUUUGUUGCUUGUUCAGGUUCGUUAAGUCGAGCAGCAAGAGAGUUAAUGCUCGUCUGGAUAUUUGAUUGCCAUUGAUGAAGUUGUUGAAAACGAGUCGUUGAAAAAGAUAAUGAAUCCCAGAUUUUAUCGGCUAUGUUAAGCAAAUCAUUGAUGUCAUCUUUACCUGAAGACAAUAUAACGCUACCGAGAUAGUUUGGGGCAAUCUUCUCUGCCAAAGUUUUAGCAAUAAAUUUGGACUUACGACUUGCGAUCCACCGACUGUCGAUAACAUACUCCUAUAGAAAUCAGAUGGUUUUUGAUCUCCCAUCUGAGAGUCGGAAAGGAGAUCAUCAAGACGUUCCUCUUCACUUAGAGAAAGCCUAUUGAUCAAAGUGUUUUUUAAAUAUAAGUAUGAAUCGAUAUCCGGUGGAGCAUCUACGACGUCAUAAACAAUCGAAACUAUCUCGGUUGAAUUGCGCUUCAAUUUGGUGAAACCAUGCAGCAGGAUUUGCAUUCCAGAAGGGAGGCAAUUUAAUAUUGGUGACAAUGUCAAUGCUUUGAUCACCAGAAGUAUUCAUGAUUGUGAAAUCGAAAUACCUGCAAUGUAGGUUUCGUCUCUAAAAAUCCGGAUGUAGACUCGUGGAUGGUCGCUGGAUAGGUAUCACCAAGUCGUUGUGGUUGUGGAAAAA